rnacentral:rRNA from 1 species
GAUGAACGCUGGCGGUCUGCUUAACACAUGCAAGUCGAACGGAAUCCGCAAGGAUUUAGUGGCGGACGGGUGAGUAACGCGUGAGAAUCUACUUUCAGGACGGAGACAACAGUUGGAAACGACUGCUAACCCCCGAUGAACCGAAAGGGCAAAUAUUUAUAGCCUGAAGAAGAGCUCGCGUCCGAUUAGCUAGUUGGAGAGGUAAAAGCUCACCAAGGCGACGAUCGGUAGCUGGUCUGAGAGGACGAUCAGCCACACUGGGACUGAGACACGACCCAGACUCCUACGGGAGGCAGCAGUGGGGAAUUUUCCGCAAUGGGCGAAAGCCUGACGGAGCAAGACCGCGUGGGGGAAGAAGGCUCUUGGGCUGUAAACUCCUUUUCUCUGGGAAGAACAAAAUGACGGUACCAGAGGAAUCAGCAUCGGCUAACUCCGUGCCAGCAGCCGCGGUAAGACGGAGGAUGCAAGCGUUAUCCGGAAUGAUUGGGCGUAAAGCGUCCGCAGGUGGCAGUUCAAGUCUGCUGUCAAAGACCGGGGCUCAACCUCGGAAAGGCAGUGGAAACUGAACAGCUAGAGUAUGGUAGGGGCAAAGGGAAUUCCUGGUGUAGCGGUGAAAUGCGUAGAGAUCAGGAAGACAUCGGUGGCGAAGGCGCUUUGCUGGACCAUAACUGACACUCAGGGACGAAAGCUAGGGGAGCGAAUGGAUUAGAUACCCCAGUAGUCCUAGCCGUAAACGAUGGAUACUAGGUGUUGUCUG